GCUGGUGCCCGGGGGCGGGCGGGCUGCAGAACCGCGGCCGGAGCCCGAGCUGGAGCUCGAGCUCGAGCCCGAGCCGCCGCAGCCGCGGAGCAUGGGCGCCGGCGCUGUACGAUGAAGCACCCAGCGAGUCCGGGGAUGGGCAGCAUUUGAUACUGGAGUCCUCCCUCCCUACCCCACAGGAAUCGAUCUCAAGACCUUGUGCUUGCCUGGCAGGCACAGCACCACUGAGCUACAUCCCCAGCCAAUCACGGGUUAUUUUCAAACAAAUUUUUUAUAAAGCCCAAGGUAUGGAACUGAUUAAAAGCAGUAUAUUAGGGAGUAUAAAGUUUUCCUUAUAACUCUCACUUUUAAAACCAAAGAGGGUAUGGUAAACUUUUGUUUUUGUUUUUAUGUUUUAAAGAGGAAAUUCAAAUCAAACGUGAAAAGAACCCUGUAACAGUAUGCCUGUGGGUCACUGUCCAACAGACUUUUCUGUCAUAUGCUAGAUAUGUGCUCUGGAGUUAUAGUAGCCACUUGCCACAUGUGACUAUUAGACAUUUGAAAGGAUAGUGCCACUAAUAAAUUGAAGCUUUGAUUUUAUCUAAUUUUAAUUUUGGUUCAUUUUAAUUUAACUUUUGUUUGGGAGCAAUCUGGUUUGCAAACAAAAGUGUUUGGCAAAACUUUUGUUUUUAUUUGCAUCAGGCAACAAACACAAUCAUGGCAUACAAACACCAAUGUGGUCAUCUUUUCCAAACUCUUGGAACAAAUUAAGUUCAUGAACUGAGGUACCACUGUGGCUCCCUCCAUGUGGCUACAUUAGAUGGUGCAGUUUCAGAGUUUAAAACUGCCCAUCUCCAUCACAGAAUAGAACCCAGCACAAACUAAUUUAGGAAACUAAUGAAAGAGUACCAGUCACAAGUAGUUCCUAAGCUUAGUAUGUUUUAGAAGAAUUUGAUUUUGUAAUGGAAGAAUUGCCUCAAGGGGUUUGUGGUCUUUAGAUGGGGGCGCUCAAAGACCUGGAGAGGUUAGAUUUGGUGCUGUGAUGUCCCCUGGACUUGGGAUUUUACGAAAUGAGGAGUGAAUCUUUGAGUUUUAAAGUAUUUCUUCAUUGCAGAAAAUCCCUAAGAGGUAG
rnacentral:lncRNA from 1 species